rnacentral:rRNA from 1 species
UACAGAGGGGGCAAGCGUUAUUCGGAAUUACUGGGCGUAAAGGGCGCGUAGGCGGCCCGCUAAGUCGAACGUGAAAUCCCCGGGCUCAACCCGGGAACUGCGUCCGAUACUGGUGGGCUUGAAUCCGGGAGAGGGAUGCGGAAUUCCAGGUGUAGCGGUGAAAUGCGUAGAUAUCUGGAGGAACACCGGUGGCGAAGGCGGCAUCCUGGACCGGUAUUGACGCUGAGGCGCGAAAGCCAGGGGAGCAAACGGG